rnacentral:rRNA from 1 species
AUUGAACGCUGGCGGCAGGCUUAACACAUGCAAGUCGAACGGUAACAGGAGAAAGCUUGCUUUCUUGCUGACGAGUGGCGGACGGGUGAGUAAUGCUUGGGAAUCUGGCUUAUGGAGGGGGAUAACGACGGGAAACUGUCGCUAAUACCGCGUAGAGUCGAGAGACGAAAGUGCGGGACCGCAAGGCCGCAUGCCAUAGGAUGAGCCCAAGUGGGAUUAGGUAGUUGGUGGGGUAAAGGCCUACCAAGCCGACGAUCUCUAGCUGGUCUGAGAGGAUGACCAGCCACACCGGGACUGAGACACGGCCCGGACUCCUACGGGAGGCAGCAGUGGGGAAUAUUGCGCAAUGGGGGCAACCCUGACGCAGCCAUGCCGCGUGAAUGAAGAAGGCCUUCGGGUUGUAAAGUUCUUUCGGUGUUGAGGAAGGUUGUUGUGUUAAUAGCACGACAAAUUGACGUUAAAUACAGAAGAAGCACCGGCUAACUCCGUGCCAGCAGCCGCGGUAAUACGGAGGGUGCGAGCGUUAAUCGGAAUAACUGGGCGUAAAGGGCACGCAGGCGGACUUUUAAGUGAGGUGUGAAAUCCCCGGGCUUAACCUGGGAAUUGCAUUUCAGACUGGGAGUCUAGAGUACUUUAGGGAGGGGUAGAAUUCCACGUGUAGCGGUGAAAUGCGUAGAGAUGUGGAGGAAUACCGAAGGCGAAGGCAGCCCCUUGGGAAUGUACUGACGCUCAUGUGCGAAAGCGUGGGGAGCAAACAGG